GAUGAACGCUGGCGGCGUGCUUAACACAUGCAAGUCGAACGAAGCACCUUGAUUCGAUUCUUCGGAUGAAGAUCUUGGUGACUGAGUGGCGGACGGGUGAGUAACGCGUGGGUAACCUGCCUCAUACAGGGGGAUAACAGUUAGAAAUGACUGCUAAUACCGCAUAAGACCACAGCACCGCAUGGUGCAGGGGUACAAACUCCGGUGGUAUGAGAUGGACCCGCGUCUGAUUAGGUAGUUGGUGGGGUAACGGCCUACCAAGCCGACGAUCAGUAGCCGAGUUGAUAUGGUUACCGGCCUUAUUCGGACUGUGACACUGCCCAAUCUCCGACAGGAGGAAGCAGUUGGGAAAAUUGCACAAUGAGGGAAACGCUGCGGGAUCGACGACGCGUGAGAGGGAAAGGACUACGGGAUGUAGACCGCUAGCAGCAGGUAAGAAUAUAGAGGUGCCUGACGAAGGGGCACACGGUAAACACGUG
rnacentral:rRNA from 1 species